AGAGUUUGAUCCUGGCUCAGGAUGAACGCUAGCGGCAGGCUUAAUACAUGCAAGUCGUGGGGCAGCGCAGUGUAGCAAUACAUGGGCGGCGACCGGCAAACGGGUGCGGAACACGUACACAACCUUCCUUCAAAUGGGGAAUAGCCCAGGGAAACUUGGAUUAAUACCCCGUAACAUUAUGAAGUGGCAUCACUUUAUAAUUAUAGCUCCGGCGUUUGGAGAUGGGUGUGCGGCUGAUUAGGUAGUUGGCGGGGUAACGGCCCACCAAGCCUUCGAUCAGUAACUGGUGUGAGAGCACGACCAGUCACACGGGCACUGAGACACGGGCCCGACUCCUACGGGAGGCAGCAGUAAGGAAUAUUGGGCAAUGGACGCAAGUCUGACCCAGCCAUGCCGCGUGGAGGAUGAAGGUCCUCUGGAUUGUAAA
rnacentral:rRNA from 1 species